rnacentral:rRNA from 2 species
GGAUGUGAUCAUACCAGCACUAAAGCACCGGAUCCCAUCAGAACUCCGAAGUUAAGCGUGCUUGGGCGAGAGUAGUACUAGGAUGGGUGACCUCCAGGGAAGUCCUCGUGUUGCAUUCU